UACGGAGGGUGCAAGCGUUAUCCGGAUUCACUGGGUUUAAAGGGUGCGUAGGUGGGCAGGUAAGUCAGUGGUGAAAUCUCCGGGCUUAACCCGGAAACUGCCAUUGAUACUAUCUGUCUUGAAUACCGUGGAGGUGAGCGGAAUAUGUCAUGUAGCGGUGAAAUGCUUAGAUAUGACAUAGAACACCAAUUGCGAAGGCAGCUCACUACACGAAAUAUUGACACUGAGGCACGAAAGCGUGGGGAUCAAACAGG
rnacentral:rRNA from 1 species